rnacentral:rRNA from 1 species
AUUGAACGCUGGCGGCAGGCCUAAAACAUGCAAGUCGAACGAGUGGCGGACGGGUGAGUAAUGUCUGGGAAACUGCCUGAUGGAAGGGGAUCACUACUGGAAACGGUAGCUAAUACAGCAUCCCAUCAGAUGGGCCCAGAUGGGAUUGGAUAGUUGGUGGGGUAACGGUUCACCAAGGCGACGACCCCUAGCUGGUAUGAGAGGAUGACCAGCCACACUGGAACUGAGACACGGUCCAGACUCCUACGGGAGGCAGAAGUUGGGAAUAUUGCACAAUGGGCGCAAGCCUGAUGCAGCCAUGCCGAGUGUAUGAAGAAGGCCUUCGGGUUGUAAAGUACUUUCAGCGGGGAGGCGUUACCCGCAGAAGAAGCACAGGCUAACGCCGUGCCAGCAGCCGCGGUAAUUC